GCCGGUGUGGCGAAAUUGGUAGACGCAAGGGACUUAAAAUCCCUUGGCUUUUAAUAGCCGUGCCGGUUCGAGUCCGGCCACCGGUACCA
rnacentral:tRNA from 1 species